UUUCCACCUCAAAAGCUGUAUCUUUUUUGAAUUAGAAAUUCCUAAGGGAAACUCCCCCCACCUCCCCACUUACUUCUUGAUGAAUUCUUGAUGAAUUGUACUUAGUACCCUACUAUCUCUGGACAGUCACUGUGCCCUGCCGGGUUCUUCCUGAGGUCAGUGAAACCUGAACAGAUAACCUGUGGUAAAGAUUCAACACAGUGCCACCCCCCAACCACCACCUCCAAAGUACACACCUUCCCCU
rnacentral:lncRNA from 1 species